AUAUAAAUGAAAGAUGAUUGAAACAGAUAGAUUUGAUAAUCACUCUUUUUAAAGUCAAAUGAUGAUUCCAAGUGCAUACGAAAAUUAAAACAACUUCUUUGUUCUUCAUUGUAAGGAAACUCAAAUAAUCUUUCAGCAUAACACAUUAGUUGUGUACCUGGACGCGGGAAUGAGUGCGUUAAUUACCGGUCGUCGACGAGGGUUACAUAGCAGCCGUAUGAUUCCUGGCCUUGGUUAUGGAAUGUUUACGACGUUGUUCUCUCGCCUGCUACUGUUGUGCGACAUAUUCUAUGAUUAUAUAGUCCUUCCACGAAUACCUGUCAAGUUAUUUACCAAUUUUUAGAACUUCCGGAUUUGAAAGAGAAAGUUUCAGAAAGGCAUUUUUGAUGGAGUGAGAGGAUAAAUUAUAUCUAUAAAUAUUUUUCUCUAAUCAUUAUCGUAUUUAAUUUUUACAAAGGAAUUUUUGCAAUUUAUUUAAUAUUUGUUUAUUUUUUUUCAAUCAAAGGGAAUUGAUUGAA